AUGAACGCUGGCGGCGUGCCUCAUCCAUGCAAGUCGCGCGAACGGACGAGAAGCUUGCUUUUCUGAUGUUAGCGGCGGACGGGUGAGUAACACGUGGAUAACCUACCUAUAAGACUGGGAUAACUUCGGGAAACCGGAGCUAAUACCGGAUAAUAUUUUGAACCGCAUGGUUCAAAAGUGAAAGACGGUCUUGCUGUCACUUAUAGAUGGAUCCGCGCUGCAUUAGCUAGUUGGUAAGGUAACGGCUCACCAAGGCAACGAUGCAUAGCCGACCUGAGAGGGUGAUCGGCCACACUGGAACUGAGACACGGUCCAGACUCCUACGGGAGGCAGCAGUAGGGAAUCUUCCGCAAUGGGCGAAAGCCUGACGGAGCAACGCCGCGUGAGUGAUGAAGGUCUUCGGAUCGUAAAACUCUGUUAUUAGGGAAGAACAUAUGUGUAAGUAACUGUGCACAUCUUGACGGUACCUAAUCAGAAAGCCACGGCUAACUACGUG
rnacentral:rRNA from 1 species